rnacentral:rRNA from 1 species
UACGUAGGCAGCGAGCGUUGUUCGGAGUUACUGGGCGUAAAGCGUGCGCAGGCGGUUUCUUAAGUCAGAUGUGAAAGCCCCGGGCUUAACCUGGGAACUGCGUUUGAAACUGGGAGACUUGAGUGUGGCAGAGGGGGGUGGAAUUCCACGUGUAGCAGUGAAAUGCGUAGAUAUGUGGAGGAACACCGAUGGCGAAGGCAGCCCCCUGGGUCAACACUGGCGCUCAUGCACGAAAGCGUGGGGAGCAAACAGG